GGCAACUCCCCCACCUUCCCGUCCAAAAUUCCAAAUCCCUUCCACAAAAAACCCCUCUUCCCUUCUUUAUCUCGUUUCCAAACCCCCCAAACCUCGUCUUCUCAUUUUCUCGUCUUCUCAGAACAGAGACCCAAAAAGGCGUCGCCUUUGAGCUUCGAGAUGUGUGGUGGUGCGAUCAUCUCUGACUUCAUUCCGCUGCCGGCGGGAGGCCGCCGGCUCACCGCCGACUCCCUCUGGCCAAAUUUCAAGAAGGGCGGUGGCGGCGGUGGAAAGAAGAAAGGCCGGAAGCAGGAGGUGGUGGAGUUCGACGACGAUUUCGAGGCCGACUUCGAGGACUUCAAGGACGAGUCCGAGGAGGACGAGGAGGAGGAGAUCGACGUCAAGCCCUCCGCCUUCGUCUCCAAGGCCCCCUUCUCUGGAGAGGGUUCAACCACUCUAAAAUCAGUAGAAUUCAAUGGGUGUGCAGCUAGAUCAACAAAAAGGAAGAGAAAGAAUCAAUACAGAGGAAUCCGCCAGCGUCCGUGGGGCAAGUGGGCAGCUGAAAUCAGAGAUCCCCACAAAGGGGUUCGUGUCUGGCUUGGAACAUUCAACACUGCUGAAGAAGCUGCAAGAGCUUAUGAUGUUGAAGCUCGUCGUAUCCGGGGCAAGAAAGCUAAAGUGAACUUCCCUGAAGCACCUGCGAGUGCCCAAAAACGCAACCAGAAACCAACUUUGCAAGCACCAAAACCAGCAUUGUCAGAGGAGCAGAAGUCAAAGCCCGAGUACAUGAAUUCCCUUCCCUUGCUAGAAUCUUCUCCACCUUCCGGGGGCACUGGGUUUUUAAAUUUUCUCUCUGAUCAGGGAAGCAACUCUAUUGAUUGUUUAGAUUUCGGAUGGGAACAUGAAACCAAGAAUCCCGAGAUCACAUCAGUUCUUGCUCCUAUGAUAACUGAGGGUGAUGAAUCCAGAUUCCUGGAGCAUGGUAGACCCCAGAAGAACCUGAAAAGCCAAUCUGGUGAGGCAGUACCAGCAGAGGAAAACUCUGCAUUGAAACUUUCUGAGGAGCUAUCUGCCUAUGAAUCAUAUAUGAAGUUCCUGCAGAUCCCUUAUCUUGAGGGGAGCACAUAUGAGUCAAUUGACAGCCUCUUCAGCUGUGAAGUGGCUCAGGAUGGUCUGAACCCUCUGAAUCUUUGGAGUUUUGAUGACCUGCCCACAGAGAGCAGCAUUUACUGAGGGAUAAUGGUUUUCUGUGAAUAAUGAUAAGGAAUUGUUGUCAUUGGAGGAUCUGGAGGACCAGAAAUGUUUGCCGGCUGCAAUCAAUUGAAUUGAAUUAUGGUUUACAAAAGUACCUUUAGAUUGUGGACUUGGUGGGACUUGUGCAUUUGUCCCAUGCUUGAUUCUUCCUGGUAGUUUUCUCAUAGGCUGGGCUAAUUAUUAGGCCAUAAAGAUGGGAGGGAGAAGGCUGCAUCCGAGCUGCAGUUUUUAUUGGGUGUGGUGGAUGAUGGAAAUUUGAAUGAGAAUAUGGUUAAUGGUGGUUACAGUGACUACAUCGUUUUCUGUUCGUUUUAUGGAUUCCUUUAUGAUGAUAUCUUGUUUUUUCUGGCUGUUUGCUAUCUAGGCAAAUGGUUAGCUUUUGCUCUCUAGAGGUGCAAGGAAAUGCCAAUAAAGGUGGUUCCUUCAGCAACUAUGGAUCUGGUUGGUGUCAAUUCAGAACUAGUGAUAAUUUUGUCUGGUAACGCAAUGAAGUUAGAUAUGUGAUGAAUUGAUAUAUACGCAUAUAUUCUUGGUGGGUUCUUGCUGUGAACAGUUCGGGGAAAUACUGCCAAAUGGUUUCCGAGACUCACAAGCUAGACCAAUUAUAUGGGGACGUUUUCAGGCCAAAAAUAUUGGGAAGUGGAGAAGAAGAGGAGGAAACAAGGUAAAGGUCCCAAUACUUGGCUUGUGAUGUGGAGAUCAUGUCUUCUGGAUCCAGAUGCAUGGAACCCAUCUUGGGGAGAAGAAAGACAGCUGCUUUUGGUGUGUUGUUCCAUACUUUUCUUUCACCUGAGACACCGCUUAAGCUGUAAGUUGGUGUGUUUGGUCCUUUGAGAUCCACUUGGAGAUGUGCUUGGUAAUUCAGCAGCAUCGAUUACCAGUUUCCUUGUUAAAGGUGGAUUGUGAUUAAAUGUGGUAUGGGUGUGUUCAACUCUGCAGCCACGAGUGUUGUGACCCUUCAAUUUCGGGGAGAUUUUGCUGUAUGGUUGAUUCACAAGGCCAAACAUUUGGAAAUUGUCAUCUUUUAUUAGUCAUUUUCAAUGCUUAACACCCAAGUUAUUUUUUGUUUCCCUUCUUUGUGACAUGAGUGCCAAGCCUCCACACAACUGUAGGUAAAAAGCAUGGUGGUGUAUCAAACCUAGGUUUAAUGUGGUUGUGCAAUGCAUAUGACAUUAUGACUCAAUGAGUUGAUCAUUUUAAUAUACAUACUCUUAACCAUUUGUUAGUACCA